rnacentral:rRNA from 1 species
UACAGAGGGGGCAAGGCGUUAUUCGGAAUUAUUGGGCGUAAAGGGCGCGUAGGCGGCCUGGCAAGUGGAUGGUGAAAUCCCUCGGCUUAACCGAGGAACUGCCAUCCAGACUGCUUGGCUUGAGACCGGGAGAGGUGAGUGGAAUUCCCAGUGUAGCGGUGAAAUGCGUAGAUAUUGGGAGGAACACCAGUGGCGAAGGCGGCUCACUGGACCGGUACUGACGCUGAGGCGCGAAAGCGUGGGGAGCAAACGGG